rnacentral:rRNA from 1 species
GAUGAACGCUGGCGGCGUGCCUAAUACAUGCAAGUCGAGCGAACAGACGAGGAGCUUGCUCCUCUGACAUUAGCGGCGGACGGGUGAGUAACACGUGGAUAACCUACCUAUAAGACUGGGAUAACUUCGGGAAACCGGAGCUAAUACCGGAUAAUAUAUUGAACCGCAUGGUUCAAUAGUGAAAGACGGUUUUGCUGUCACUUAUAGAUGGAUCCGCGCCGCAUUAGCUAGUUGGUAAGGUAACGGCUUACCAAGGCAACGAUGCGUAGCCGACCUGAGAGGGUGAUCGGCCACACUGGAACUGAGACACGGUCCAGACUCCGACGGGAGGCAGCAGUAGGGAAUCUUCCGCAAUGGGCGAAAGCCUGACGGAGCAACGCCGCGUGAGUGAUGAAGGUCUUCGGAUCGUAAAACUCUGUUAUUAGGGAAGAACAAAUGUGUAAGUAACUAUGCACGUCUUGACGGUACCUAAUCAGAAAGCCACGGCUAACUACGUG